rnacentral:tRNA from 1 species
GGUUUUAUAUUCAUGAGAAUGAUACUAGAAUGCAAUUCUAGAGGUGUAAAAUAUUAAAUACUAAGACUU